UGCAAGUCGAGUGCGCGUGCCGUAGCAAUACGGUAUGGCGCACGGCGCACGGGUGCGUAACACGUGGGCAAUCUGCCCUCCGAUGGGGAAUAACUCCGGGAAACCGAAGCUAAUUCCGCAUAACAUUCCCUGGACUCCGGUUCGGGGAUUCAAAGCAGCAAUGCGUCGGAGGAGGAGCCCGCGCCCGAUUAGCUAGUUGGUGAGGUAACGGCUCACCAAGGCUAUGAUCGGUAGCUGGUCUGAGAGGAUGGCCAGCCACACUGGAACUGAGACACGGUCCAGACUCCUACGGGAGGCAGCAGUGGGGAAUCUUGCGCAAUGGGCGAAAGCCUGACGCAGCGACGCCGCGUGGGGGAUGAAGCUUCUCGGAGUGUAAACCCCUUUCGACCGGGACGAAUGCCCGCAAGGGAGUGACGGUACCGGUAGAAGAAGCCCCGGCUAACUACGUGCCAGCAGCCGCGGUAAGACGUAGGGGGCCAGCGUUGUUCGGAAUUACUGGGUGUAAAGGGUUCGUAGGCGGUGUGGCAAGUCGGGAGUGAAAUUUCUGGGCUUAACUCAGAACCUGCUUCCGAAACUGCUGUGCUGGAGUGUGGGAGAGGCGCGUGGAAUUGCAGGUGUAGCGGUGAAAUGCGUAGAUAUCUGCAGGAACACCCGUGGCGAAAGCGGCGCGCUGGACCACUACUGACGCUGAGGAACGAAAGCUAGGGGAGC
rnacentral:rRNA from 1 species